rnacentral:rRNA from 1 species
CGUAUAUUAAAGUUGUUGCAGUUAAAAAGCUCGUAGUUGGAUUUGUGGCGUAUGGUGUGUUCCGGGCACUUGUUGUCUGAGUAACCUGCUGUUGCCAUCCUUGGGUGGAACCUGUGUGGCAUUAGGUUGUCGUGCAGGGGAUGCCCAUCAUUUACUGUGAAAAAAUUAGAGUGUUCAAAGCAGGCUUAUGCUGUUGAAUAUAUUAGCAUGGAAUAAUGAGAUAGGACUUUUUUACUAUUUUGUUGGUUUGCGUAAAGAGGUAAUGAUUAAUAGGGACAGUUGGGGG